rnacentral:tRNA from 1 species
AGUCGUAUGGUCUAAUGGUUAUGAUUUCUCGUUCACAGUAGUGUGUACCUUGUCCCGAGAAGGUUCCGUGUUCGAUCCACGGUACGACUA